ensembl:lncRNA
GUUGGGUAUUUGUUUUAUUUUUAUUAAUACACUACUGUAAGAGCCUAAUAAUGCAAGGUAUUCCCUUUGAAUCGUUUCAAAAAGCACUGCAGUCUUCAAAAAUUACAAAAUGUUUUUAAAAUACAAAAUGUACAUGAAAUGACAAUACACAGUUCCGUAAACAUCAGCUAAAACCUGCAUUUCCCUUUAAUUUACAAUUCCCCCAUCAUUAGGAAUGACAUCCAUUUCAAAGUAUCAAAAAUAGAGUUUUCUAAAGUUAGACUCUGUUGCUUUUUACCGGUAUGUUCGGUCUUUGGUUUUACAGAAGAGGCUGGCAGAGAGCUCACUAAAUUUGAUGCUAUGCUUGUGGCUUGACUCAUGCCUGAUCCACACUUCACAGGGCCAAGCUGGGCUAUACAGGGCUGACAUAGUUACGCAAUCACUGUAGUGGCUAAAACUGGGUUGGUUGAAACUGAAUGUCCAAGCCAGCACAGUAUGGUCCUGGUCUGCCCUCUAUUGUGAAUCAGGCAACAGUCACACAAAAAGCCCUACUACCAGCUUCCUCUAAAGUCCUGCUGUCCAAAAUUAUCAUCUCACAAGUUAUUCAUAAAUUAUUAACCCAGAAAAGCAUACAGACAACCAACCAAUAAUUGGUAUUUAAAACAUGAGUUAAGGCAUUCCUAUAGUUUUAAAUAAUCAAAUAGUGACAUCAUUUAUUCUCUCCUCAAUGUUUGAAAAGGGUUUACACACAAAAGUUGUGAGGGAGAGUUUACAAACAAAGCAGUUAUCUGUACUUGGUGCCAAAUAGUGAAUUGUAAUGUUGCUGUUAUCAUGGUUUGCAUAGUAGCCUAACACAUCUGUGUGCAUAAUUAAAAUAAGAAAAGAUAAAAAUUACAAAAAACACAUAUCUACAGUUUAUUGGGAACAAACGUAACACUUCCACACGCUCUAGUAAUUUCUCUUAAGACACACUGUCCUUUACAAGGCAGCUUCACUGACUGUCUUUCUCUUACGGAGCAAGAAUACUAUAUAUUGGGCUACUCUGGAAAAACUGAAACCAAGCAGCUACAAAGCGUCUACAUCUAUAGGCAUCAAGGUUUUCUUUUUAUUUCUUUUCCUGUUUUUUAAAGGCAUCAGGCAGAUUUUUUGUGCAUAGCAGAAUUAUUAUUGAACUUGAACUGGGACAUGAAUCAUGAUUGACAGUUGUCAUUAGCAACACCUUAGAGAAUAAAAAUACAUGCAAGAAGAGUAUCAUUGUCCAAUUACAGAAAACACGUUAAGGCAAAGAGCCAAUAGGAGCUUAUUCUAACCAACCAUAUAAACACGUAUUAUAGCAUGACUCUUGACAUACGUAAUGUAUAGCAUACUUACAGUACAUUAUUCAAACAUUUAGAAUCACAUUCUACGCACAUCCUUCUUAUGAAGUUUGAUUGGAAUAUGUCACGUCAUUUCCUUGGACUUGGUUGUAAUUCUCAGGCAAACAAAAGCUUUAUUAUUGUUAAUAAUAUUCCAUACGCCCAAACGGAGAAUUUCUAUUAUUGUUAUCAAUAUUCCAUACAUUCACUGUCUAUAUGUCUCCCCAAAAAGAGAGAAUGACGUCUUUUUGUUAAGGUACCAUUUGGUAGACAAAAUGAUUGUCGUGAUGCGACACACGGAGGGGACGUGAAGAACCAACAGUAUUCUAGGGUGGGAGCUGUUUUAAAAAAGACAGAAAUAACCCUGUUAAUCGGGGUAGAGGUGAUGAGGAGUUAUCCAUAAAUGCAGUAUAUAUACGGUUAUCAACAAUUUGAAUGUCGUCAUGUUAUGUUGAAUAGUGUGUGGAGGUUUGAAGUUCCUACACCCUCAUAUGGUGGUUACAUAGCGGAAGGCACACGAGUCCCUGGGCAUCACCACAACUAAGAUGCAUCCAGAAUAACACCCUAUUCCUUACAUAGCACUCUAUUUCUGACCACUGGAUAUCAACAGUGCACUAUACUGGGACUAGGGUGCCAAUUCAGAAGCCUCCUACAUAUUGUAUGACGAAGCUCUUAGGAGCACAGGUCCAUCUCUCUCUGUGGAUCAUUCAAAGCCAUCUUUAAUUCAAC